UACGGAGGGGGCUAGCGUUGUUCGGAAUUACUGGGCGUAAAGCGCACGUAGGUGGCUUUGUAAGUUAGAGGUGAAAGCCCGGGGCUCAACUCCGGAAUUGCCUUUAAGACUGCAUCGCUAGAACGUCGGAGAGGUAAGUGGAAUUCCGAGUGUAGAGGUGAAAUUCGUAGAUAUUCGGAAGAAACACCAGUGGCGAAGGCGACUUACUGGACGACUGGUUGACACUGAG
rnacentral:rRNA from 1 species